CCUUUUUGACAGACCUGGAGUAGUUAUUGUCUGUUCUAAGUAUUCACUACAAAUGCAAGAAAAAUGCCCUCAUGCUUUCUAUCUGACUGUGGCAGCCAAGACUGAACAGAGGAAUACAGGG
rnacentral:snoRNA from 1 species